GGGAGGGAGCUGAGGUUUGAAUCCAGAGUCAGGGAGCCCACUUAAGGCAGAGAGAGGAAUGCAGUGCCUUUGGGAGAGGUGGUGGGGCCCCCCCGGAGGGUUUGGUGCAGGUGAGAGAAGCAGGAUUGUGUUUUGGUGUUUUCUCUCCUUGCCCCCAGCAUUGGGAGGAUGUCUGUGGGGCAGGAUGGGGAGAUGAUGGGAGAGUAUAAGGGGUAGAGACUGGCAAGAGGUACUGACAGAAGCUCUAUGAGGGCAAGGAUCUUGUUUAUUUUCUUAAUGCUGACUGAUUCUUGCUGCCUAGGCCAGUGCCUGGCAUAUCACGGGCAGAUUUGAAUGAAUACAUGAUUAGAGACAGCUCUGCUAUGGACGUUAUUGUGUUAUUGUGUGAACUGAGGAAGUAAAGCUUUUGUUCCUUAUUUUUACCAAGGAGCACCAGCUGAAUUCAGUAGCCUUUGCAGAGUCCCUGCCAUGUGCUAGCCUGAGCUAGGUGCAGGGGAGACGGGAAGAUGUAAGGUAGAGCCCUUUCCCUUACAGAGCUCACCAUCCACAGGAAAGACAGGUUUGCACAUGACUGUGACAUCAUGUGCUGAGCACAUAAAUGGAUGGAUAGUGGGGAUGCAGAGAAGGGGCAGUUUUGUUGGGGGUGUGGAAGGUUUGAAGGUUGAGGACAGGGCUACAUUAUGAUUUUCUUGCAUCCUAAAUCAUUUUAACUUUGUGGACCCUUUCCUACACAUACACACACACACACACACACAGACACGCACACACACACAUCCCUAAAAAGUAUAUUUACAACCUCCUUGGUUUAGAAAAAAUAUAUCAAUAUUACAUUUUUUUUUGAGACAGAGUCUUGCUCUGUCACCCAGGCUGGAGUGCAGUGACUCAAUAUUGGCUCACUGCAACCUCUGCCUCCGAGGUUAAAGGGAUUCUCCUGCCUCAGCCUCCCAAGUAGCUGGGAUUACAGGUGUGCACCACCACACCUGGCUAAUUUUUGCAUUUUUAGUAGAGAAGGGUUUUGCCAUGUUGAUCAGGCUGGUUUCGAACUCCUGGCCUCAAGUGAUCCACCUGCCUUGGCAUCCCAAAGUGCUGGGAUUACAGUCAUGAGUCACCAUGCCCAGCCUAAUAUUACAUAUUAAAACAUGUUUUUUGACCUAAAAUUUUUUUUUUCCUCUAAUUUUAAAAGAAAUUAAAAUAUUUCUGUGGACCCCUAACAGUGUUGUUGACCCCAGGCACUGGCCUAACAUAUAAGUUGGUCUGGGUGAGAAGGAAUGUGUAUGGCCAACAAGAUGGAGACAGGUAUUCCCGGGUAAAGAGAGUAGUGUGUAGACACAGAGGUGCGAGGUGCCAGAAAAUUCUAGGAACAGCAAAUUGUCCUGGUGAGGGGACAGUAGGUAUUUGAAGAGACUGGCAGGAGAUGGAAUAGGAAU
rnacentral:lncRNA from 1 species